UCUUUGCAUGAUGAUACCAACUCAGCUCACUCAGAUCUUUUAUGAUCGACAACACAUUCCUAUCCAACAUUCAUCAAUUACCUGAUUUCAAAGG
rnacentral:snoRNA from 1 species